rnacentral:rRNA from 1 species
UAGGGAAUUUUCGGCAAUGGGGGAAACCCUGACCGAGCAACGCCGCGUGAGCGAAGAAGGCCUUCGGGUCGUAAAGCUCUGUUGUAAAGGAAGAACGGCGCAUACAGGAAAUGGUAUGCGAGUGACGGUACUUUACCAGAAAGCCACGGCUAACUACGUG